GCUUUUGGUUAAGGCACAACGGCAAUGUCGACGGAGUCAUGCGGUCAUUGUUUGGAGACACAUUAAUAAUUGAUUACAAUUUAGAGGGGAGAAGGGGAAAAGCAGCCUCUAUUAAAACUUAAAUGCAUUGAUCUCCUUUUUGAUGCAUUUUCGGAAAUUCCAAAGGAGCAAAUAAUUAGAGAAAUAAGGCAUUACGUUAUGUUAAGCCAUAACAUACUAAAACAACAAAAAUAAAAAUUAAAAAAAAAAUAGUUUUAAGUAGUAAAUAUUCUAGUUUUAAGAUGAACAUAAUUAGUUUUAAGUUGUAAAUAUUUUAGUUUUAAGAUGUACAUAAUUAUUUUUAAGUUGUAAAUAUUUUAGUUUUAAGAUGUACAUAUUAGUCCUUAGUUGUAAAUAUGUAAAUAUCAGAAUUGCAUUUUUUAAAUUAUUUAUUUAUAAUAGAAUAAUAUUUUUUAUUUUGAUGUCAAAACGUGGUUUAUUUUUUGUUUAGUUAUUACAAGCAUUAAGCUCUGUAGAUAUAUAUACAUAUAUACAUCUGUUUUUUAACAUUACUUAUAUUUUCAUUAUCCAUUUCAGAUAUUGGAAACAUAAAUACUUUGCACAAAUGGAGGAUUACAAUAGAUACAACUUUCUUAGACUACACCAAAUCCCCUCUUACAUUUAGAUUAGCAGUUGCACAACCUCUUUCCGACGAGCUGAACCCUUUUAUGAUGUACAUAUGGGAUAGAAUUGUGUGGAAUUGACAUCAAACAAUAUUGGUUCAUUAAUUUCGUUGGAUCCUUACAGGAUAGUUAUAAGGAAAUCGUUCGCGCUUAGUACUAACGUAUUCAUUUGCUAAUUCAUAAUUUCAAUGUAAAAUAUUGUUAAAUUAUACAAAUGAAUGUUCAAAUACUAAUAACAGUCGUAAUAGUAGUUUAAAUUUAUUUGUAUUGUAUGACAACAACUACAAAAAAUAAAAAUUUAAUAAUUAAUACUAACUUCAUUUGUAAAAUAUGUAAAUUUUGUCAAUGUAUAAAUGAUA